rnacentral:rRNA from 1 species
AUGAGCUGCCAAGAAGGCGCCAUGCCGGCGGCGGCGGUGGCGCAGCCGCACGUCCUCCUCGUGUCGUGCCCGCUGCAGGGCCACGUGAACCCGCUACUCCGCCUCGGCCGGCGCCUCGCCGCCAGGGGCCUCCUCGUCACCUUCACCACCAUCCUCCGCGGCGCCAUCCACCGCGACGACGGCGCCUCCUCGGGCGGCGUCCUAUUCGAGUACCGCCCUUGCGGCGACGACGACGGCUCACACGAACGGACGAUGGCACCCAACGACAUGCUACGGCACGUCGUGGACGUGGGCCCCGCGGUGCUGGCCGACAUGGUCCGGCGCCACGCCGACGCCGGCCGGCCGGUCUCCUGCAUCGUCAACACCACCUUCGUGCCCUGGGCGCUCGACGUGGCCCGGGAGCUGGGCGUCCCCUGCGCCACCUUGUGGAACCAGUCCUGCGCCGUGCUGUCGCUCUAUUACCAUUUCUACAACAACGACGCGCCAGUGCUGCUGCCCGGGCUGCCGGCCAUGUCCGUGGACGAGCUGCCGACCUUGGUCCGACCCGAGUUCGCGCACAACCUAUGGGGCCAGAUGCUCAGGGCGCAGCUCGUGCAGGUGCGGGAGAAGGCACCGUCAUGGGUGCUCGGAAACACCUUCCACGAGCUUGAGUGCACCGCCAUCGACGCGCUUCGGGCUCGCGCCGUCCCGGUCGCGCCCGUCGGCCCCCUCCUGGACGAUGAGCCGGCCGUGGCCGGCGACGACGGCUGCGUGAUGGCGUGGCUCGACGCGCAGCCGCCGCGCUCUGUCGUGUACGUGGCGUUCGGCAGCAUCGUGGACAUCGGGCGGGACGAGACGGCCGCCCUGGCGGAGGGACUCGCCAGCACUGGCAGGCCGUUCCUGUGGGUGGUGCGCGACGACCUCCUCCACCUCCCGGAGCCCGUCUUCGCCGCCUGCCGCGGAGACACCAGCAGGAUCGUGGCGUGGUGCCCGCAGGGGCGCGUGCUCCGGCAUGGCGCGGUCGGGUGCUUCGUAACGCACUGCGGGUGGAACUCCGUCACCGAGGCGCUGGCCGCGGGGGUGCCGGUGGUCGCGUACCCGUGGUGGUCGGACCAGUUCACCAACGCCAAGUUCCUGGUGGAGGAGUACGGGAUCGGCAUCCGGCUGCCGGCGCCGGUGACGCAGGAGGCGCUCCGUGCGUGCGUCAACGAGGUGAUGGGCGGACCGGAGGCGGCAGCGAUCCGGAGGAGGGCGACGGCGUGGAAGGAGGAAGCAGCGGCAGCGCUGGCCGACGGCGGGUCAUCGGACAGCGGCCUCGACGCUUUCGUUGACUUCUUGCGAGCGGCCGUAGGAUCUCGUGCAGUUGACACGAUUAGCUCGCCGCCGGCAAAGCAGGGAUCAGUCAGUUCGUUAUAA